ACUGAACGCUGGCGGAAUGCUUUACACACGCAAGUCGAGCGGCAGCGCGGGGCGAACCUGGCGGCGAGCGGCGAACGGGUGAGUAAUGUAUCGGAACGUGUCCUGUCGUGGGGGAUAGCCCGGUGAAAACCGGAUUAAUACCGCAUACGAUCGAGAGAUGAAAGUGGGGGACCGCAAGGCCUCACGCGAUAGGAGCGGCCGAUAUCUGAUUAGCUAGUUGGUGGGGUAAAGGCCCACCAAGGCGACGAUCAGUAGCUGGUCUGAGAGGAUGAUCAGCCACACUGGGACUGAGACACGGCCCAGACUCCUACGGGAGGCAGCAGUGGGGAAUUUUGGACAAUGGGGGCAACCCUGAUCCAGCCAUUCCGCGUGAGUGAAGAAGGCCUCGGUUGUAAGACUC
rnacentral:rRNA from 1 species